GAGAGCCGUGUGAUGGGUAACUAUCUCGCACGGUUCGGAGAGCACUUUAUUAUAUCGAGAGAGUGCAUAGGGAAACUGCGGCUCUGCGAUGGAAUUCUUGACUCUAU
rnacentral:ncRNA from 1 species